rnacentral:rRNA from 2 species
CACGAUCAGUAAGCAUUACCAUGCAGUCGAGCGGGGAAGAGUAGCUUGCUACUUUACCUAGCGGCGGACGGGUGAGUAAUGCUUAGGAAUCUGCCUAUUAGUGGGGGACAACAUCUCGAAAGGGAUGCUAAUACCGCAUACGUCCUACGGGAGAAAGCAGGGGACCUUCGGGCCUUGCGCUAAUAGAUGAGCCUAAGUCGGAUUAGCUAGUUGGUGGGGUAAAGGCCUACCAAGGCGACGAUCUGUAGCGGGUCUGAGAGGAUGAUCCGCCACACUGGGACUGAGACACGGCCCAGACUCCUACGGGAGGCAGCAGUGGGGAAUAUUGGACAAUGGGGGGAACCCUGAUCCAGCCAUGCCGCGUGUGUGAAGAAGGCCUUUUGGUUGUAAAGCACUUUAAGCGAGGAGGAGGCUACCGAGAUUAAUACUCUUGGAUAGUGGACGUUACUCGCAGAAUAAGCACCGGCUAACUCUGUGCCAGCAGCCGCGGUAAUACAGAGGGUGCAAGCGUUAAUCGGAUUUACUGGGCGUAAAGCGCGCGUAGGUGGCCAAUUAAGUCAAAUGUGAAAUCCCCGAGCUUAACUUGGGAAUUGCAUUCGAUACUGGUUGGCUAGAGUAUGGGAGAGGAUGGUAGAAUUCCAGGUGUAGCGGUGAAAUGCGUAGAGAUCUGGAGGAAUACCGAUGGCGAAGGCAGCCAUCUGGCCUAAUACUGACACUGAGGUGCGAAAGCAUGGGGAGCAAACAGGAUUAGAUACCCUGGUAGUCCAUGCCGUAAACGAUGUCUACUAGCCGUUGGGGCCUUUGAGGCUUUAGUGGCGCAGCUAACGCGAUAAGUAGACCGCCUGGGGAGUACGGUCGCAAGACUAAAACUCAAAUGAAUUGACGGGGGCCCGCACAAGCGGUGGAGCAUGUGGUUUAAUUCGAUGCAACGCGAAGAACCUUACCUGGUCUUGACAUAGUAAGAACUUUCCAGAGAUGGAUUGGUGCCUUCGGGAACUA